GUGAAUCAUCGAAUUUUUGAACGCAAAUUGCGCUUCCUGGUAUCCCGGGAGUAUGCCCGGUUGAGGGGUAGUAUUUAAAAAAAAUCGGUUUGGUUGCAAAUUGUGACGUUUCCGGAGGUUGGGCUUAUCUUAACUUUUUUGGGUAAGGGGCUUAAAAUUGACCUUUUUUGCGCAUUUUUUGACGUACAUAAAUUUUUUUUUUUUUGUCUAUUCUUAAUUCCAAAAAUUUAUUAGAUUCGAUCACAU
rnacentral:misc_RNA from 1 species